CAGAGGUGGAAGAGAAGGGAACGGAGAGAUAGAUAUGGGAUGAACGGUGGAAUAGGUGGUACAGAGAGUUUCAGUGGCCCCUGAGGUCGAACUCCUCUAUCAGCUGGAAAUACACCGCUCACUCACCUCGGUACCGAACAGUCUUGCGUGGGAUGGGGUUCCAGUUGAGACCCAGCGACUUCUCCCAUCCAACCAGAAACACCAGGAGCAAGACCUUGGUCCCGCCCAUGGCUCCCAUGUCAGCUCCCAUUCGUCGGGAACUGGCGUUGGCGUGAUGGAUCGAGGGAUCAAUCAGUUGAUCAGAGGAACUGGAUAGAGCAGCCCGGCUCCUGGCAGCCUGCCGAGAGAAAGAAAAACCAACGCAUCAGCUGGAAGCAGCAAUUCACUUCCUUUAUUGGCUCGGUUGUUUAUCAGAAUCCAUUCUUUCCAGAACAGUAUUUACAACUUGCACAUUUUUACACAACAAAAAAACAUUUUAUUAAUGACUUUUGGCGGAGGGAGUUUAUCCUUCCCUCACUCUGAGCGAUAAUCCAGCUAUCGCCACUCAGAAAUAGCUUGUCUUGUCAAGCCAAUUCAGCAGCAGUAUAUUAAACUAGGGCUGAGUUAUCAAAGGUAAUUGGCGCUGGCAACGCAUCAAACAAAGUGUUGAGAAAUGAAUGUCAAGGCAAGGACAAUCCAAUAGCACUGUGUUGUAAAUGAAUUGGUUUAUACCUAAUGAACAUGUCAAGUGUGCGGCUACAGAGCGACAUUACAGUCCAAUAACAGCACAGGAUGAUUGACUUGUUACACUACUGCUGCUGCUGCUGCUGCUGCUACCGAGACUGACGCACAGCGCCAGAGGAGGAAUUUUACAUAAAAAUAGUACUUACACGCUUACAAUGACACACUCUCAAGUUUUUGUAUGCUUGCGAGGACCUGCCAGCCCAUUAACUUUUACCGUAUGUCACAUCGUUACUUAUUGUGUGAACUCAGUGACAUCAAUUAGCGGCAGAAACGCAUUAAUUCAAGGUGCAACAUGUUAAGUUUAACCGUGAACAGCCUUAGAUUACAUUCAUUUAUUUUUAUCAGUAGAGUGUUGAAGUGUGAAAAUAACUUUUUUUCAAUAAUGUUGGAUUUGCUGCAGCCACCUGUGCUGAUAAACCACAAUCAAUGAUGCCAAGUUCAAAAAGAAAUUACAUGUUCUGCUUGUUUUUCCAAAAAAAGUGUGUUAUAAAAGUGUUAUUGGACGGUCGUAUUCAUUAAAAAAAUCUACACUGA